UGCGUGAGCUUUCAACCGCUCAGGGCGUUGCAUCAGCACGAGAUUGGAAGUGCGUCAAAUCUGUACAGCAUUGUUACGUCAUCACUGAUAAACGUUGAAACUGAUGAGAAACCGCGGGAGCAGUUCAGUCUGAUUCUCGCUAGUCCUGGAGGAGCGUUCAUUUUGGCAAGGAAAUGUGCUGAUUUUGCAAGGACGUGAGAAGAAAGAGUUCAAGACCUGAUAAAGAUCACAGAGAGGUUGAGAGACAGACCAAGUUGGAAGAGGCUGUUCUAGAGACAGAUAUCCCAACUCUGUCACUAGAGGCUGAAGGAGAGAUUGAGAUGCAGGAAGCUGAUCUGAAGACAGAUGGCACAUCUCAGUCACAGGAGGUUGAAGGAGAGAGUGAGUUGGACGAGGCCAUUGUCAUCCCAUCUCAGUCACAGGAGGAGGCCAAAGGAGAGAGUGAGUUGAAUCGGGUUGAUCUGAAGACAUCCACAUCAACUCUGACACUGGAGGUCGAAGAAGAGAGUGUCAUGCAGGAGAGUGAUGAUGUAGAAACAGCCGGGCCAUCUCAAUGCCAGGAGACUGAACGAGUGGCAAAGGCUGCAGUGGUGACCUUCACUACCAUGACCCGCAAGGCUGCAGCCUCCCAGACCAGCCUCACCCUCAGCAGGGGAAAAAGAAGCUACCCAGACCUACACACCUUUGUGCAGGACAUGAAGGAUGGGUUAGUUGCUCUUUCGUUCCCUGUGCAUCCCCUAGAUAUGUUCCCUAUUAGAGCCUUGGUCAACAAUAGUUCCGUAUUUAAGGAAUAGGGGCCAUUUGGGACGUACCCAUAGGGACAAUCUCAAUUGCAUUCUCCUCGAGUCCUCUCUUCUCGCCUCCUUCUCAAAACCCAUUGGAUGAGAAAGCCCUCCCUUUUGACCAUCUCGUCCUAUGGGUUUAGAGAAGGAGGUGAGGUGUCUCGGGCAAAUACAAGGGACUCAACGGACCAAUCAGGGAUGUUUGGAUGUGGCCUAGUUCCGUAGAGGUCCAUCCAUACCGUAAUCUAAGAGAAUAGAGGUAAUGUCAUGUAGUUUAAUUGUGUACCUUUUUUUUAUUUACUUUUCAGCCAUUGGAAUCUGCUGAGUGAGAAUAUGCGUGCCGGGGUGAGUUAUAGUCACUUCUAAAGUAGUUCAUGUUGGUAAGAUGGACCAAACAUUCCAAACUCCUAUUGGUGGAAAUCGUGCAGGACCUUUAAUUCAGAGGUUCCAAAACUUUUUCACUCAGGCCCCCCUUUCCAGCAUUGUGGAACAUCCUGAACCACUGCUUUAAUUGACUAGCUUGAGUAAACACAUGGUGCAGCAGUGCAGCUCCGUUAACAAACUAACUCUGUAUGGUCUUUUAACAUUUCAGAUGAGCAGAGAUGAGUUUAGUGCUAGGUGCAUGGAUAUUACAAAUUGGGUGAUGGAGUCUACAUCCACUGUGGUCGUUCCCGCCCUUGACCUCACCAUGCAGAUCAGGCUCUCUGAUUCGUCAAGCUCUUCUGGAUCAGGAAGUAAUGAGGCUAGAGAAGUGAGCUCUCUUGGCCGCAGCGUCAGAUUCAGCUUUCGUGGUGGACCCAGUAGACGCANNNNNNNNNNGAUUCGAAAUUUGUAAUUAGCAUCAAAGUAGACAUGCAAAACUACAAAUCCCUGCAAGCUCCUAAACGUCAUUUCUAGCUGACACCUUUGCUAACAGGUUUUGUGUCAAUUUAAAACUUGCACUAAACAGUUCACAGAAUUGGCCAUUUAAAGAAAUGUAGCCAAUUUAUUAAUUACUACAUUUAGCUAACAUUAGAUAGUUAAUCAAGAGAUUCUUACCUUUGCCUCGAUCAGCAUGAUCAUCGUGGCAUUUGUAGUUCUUUAUGAUAGCCACAUUAGCAGAUAAUUAGCAUUUCAUUUUUGGGGGGUAAAUACAGGCAAAUAUAUUGAUNNNNNNNNNNNNNNNNNNNNNNNNNNNNNNNNNNNNNNNNNNNNNNNNNNNNNNNNNNNNNNNNNNNNNNNNNNNNNNNCUUGUUAUAAGUACAAAUAUCCAUUCCAGAUCCACCUAGAGAGAAAUACUACUUAGGUACUUCCAAAUUCUUGGAUCAUAUGUUGUAUUUUGUUAUCAUGUACUAUUCAUUUCU
rnacentral:lncRNA from 13 species